AGUAAUGACUCUCGUGCCUUGAGAGAAGAAAAACAGAGGACAAAAUAACCACAAAUAAAUAAUAAAAGUAGAGAAUCUACACUGUUAGAUGUCGCUGUAGAUUUAGCAGUACAUUACUGUAAAAAUCCACAGUACUAUACUGUAUGUAUACAUUACAGUACAGUACUGCAGUUCAUAAUGCAUUCUGGGUAAAUUUGUUUGAGCGGGAAAAUUUUACAGUAUAUUUUGGUCUUGAUGUAACCUUGCUGUAGCCAUUGCUGUAAUGUGCCAGGUGUACUUGCAAUAAUCAGAGAAAGUGCGCCAGAGUCAAAUCACACAGAGGGAGAGAGAGCACAACUCCUGGCUGCAGCUGAAGGAGGACGAUUGAUUUCUGGCAGUUCGUCUUACCAUUGCUUGUAAGCUGGAUUGGGUAAGAUGGAUCAUCUUUAAAGGCACCAGGAGUUAAGGCAGAUGUGGAGGCACAACGGGUGAUACCAGACACACACCAAGCACAUUAUGUUCGGACAUUCAAUCAUGACAGGAUCCAGGUGGAUGCUGUCCAUUGAUGAAAGAGUUUGUUCCGAGGUUUCUGGAUAGAAUUAAUUCCAAAGAUGGGAAAAAGUGCACAUCCAGACAAGGAGCAAGCAAAAAGACAAGGAACUUGGUGCAGAAAAAAGCUGUGGCCAUUAACCCCCAUGUGAACAGCUUCAUGCAGUCCCUGAUUGAGUUCGAAUGGACGACUUCAAAGUAAAGGCCACUGUGGUCUGUCUGCCACAGUUUAAUUUUUAAUUUAUUUUUAGUGUUCAAUGAAAUUCAAGUAGAAUAUUUAAAACUAUGAGCCAGUGUUGUUUUUACCACAGUGAAAUGUUACCUUUUAGUCGAUGAUGGACUUUAAACUGAAAACUUCAAACUAUGGACCAGUGUUCUAUUUGCCAGAGUUAAAUAUGUUACAGCAGGGGUCUCCAAACUUGUUUAUACUUGUUGAUUUUAUUUUAUUUAACUUGUUUAUAUGUUUAUUAUUGUUUAAAAUCUUGUUUUAAAUAUGUUUUGUUUCAAUUAAAUGUUUUUUUUAAAUAAAAUUUUGAUACAUACAUUGCUUGGA